UACGGGGGGGGCAAGCGUUGUUCGGAAUUACUGGGCGUAAAGGGCUCGUAGGCGGCCAACUAAGUCGGACGUGAAAUCCCUCGGCUUAACCGGGGAACUGCGUCCGAUACUGGAUGGCUUGAGUUUGGGAGAGGGAUGCGGAAUUCCAGGUGUAGCGGUGAAAUGCGUAGAUAUCUGGAGGAACACCGGUGGCGAAGGCGGCAUCCUGGACCAACACUGACGCUGAGGAGCGAAGGCAUGGGGAGCGAACAGG
rnacentral:rRNA from 1 species